rnacentral:rRNA from 1 species
AGUGAACGCUGGCGGUAGGCCUAACACAUGCAAGUCGAACGGCAGCACAGUAAGAGUUUGCUCUUACGGGUGGCGAGUGGCGGACGGGUGAGGAAUACAUCGGAAUCUACUUUUUCGGGGGGGAUAACGUAGGGAAACUUACGCUAAUACAGCAUACGACCUACGGGUGAGAGCAGGGGAUCUUCGGACCUUGCGCGAUUGAAUGAGCCGAUGUCGGAUUAGCUAGUUGGCGGGGUAAAGGCCCACCAAGGCGACGAUACGUAGCUGGUCUGAGAGGAUGGUCGGCCACACUGGAACUGAGACACGGUCCAGACUCCUACGGGAGGCAGCAGUGGGGAAUAUUGGGCAAUGGGCGCAAGCCUGAUCCAGCCAUACCGCGUGGGUGAAGAAGGCCUUCGGGUUGUAAAGCCCUUUUGUUGGGAAAGAAAAGCAGCAGGUUAAGACCCCGCUGUUCUGACGGUACCCAAAGAAUAAGCACCGGCUAACUACGUG